rnacentral:rRNA from 1 species
UACGUAGGGUGCGAGCGUUAAUCGGAAUUACUGGGCGUAAAGGGUGCGUAGGCGGUUCGUUAAGUCUGUUGUGAAAUCCCCGGGCUCAACCUGGGAAUGGCAAUGGAUACUGGCGAGCUAGAGUGUGUCAGAGGAUGGUGGAAUUCCCGGUGUAGCGGUGAAAUGCGUAGAGAUCGGGAGGAACAUCAGUGGCGAAGGCGGCCAUCUGGGACAACACUGACGCUGAAGCACGAAAGCGUGGGGAGCAAACAGG